AGGGCGGGGCGGGCGCUCCCCAUUGGCUGAGGAGCGACGGCGGCCCGACGGCGGCCCCGGGAGAGGGAGGGGGAGCGGCGUGGCGCGGCGCGGCCGUCGGGGCGGCGUGGGGAGCGGGGGGUGCGCUGCGCUCGGAGGGAAGGCCCGGGCGGACGGGCUGGGGACAGGCUGGGGACGGGCUGGGGACACGGCACCGGGUGGGGCUCAGACGUCGGGAGUAUGUUUGCUAACGUCGGGGAAACGGCGGUGGAGGAACGGAGCUGAGCGGCCCGAAUCUGGGGCUGGGUUGGGCAUGGGGGGCUCCGUGUCGCAGAGGAAGAAGAAAGAAAAAAAAAAAAAAAAAAAAGGAAAAGGAAAGAAAAAAAAAGUGCUGUUUGGGGUUUUGGUUUGUUUUGAAAUGAACGUCGGCCCCGAGGUGUGUUUGCUCCGUGUCCCGUGGCUUAGGUGCGUGCGUGACGUGGGAUGAUUAAAUGCUCGCUCGCCUAAAAAGGAGCAUCCCAACCCCCGCCCCAUGAAAUCCCGGCUAUUCGCCUUUGUAAAUGCGCGUUACGAGCCCUUAUCCCCGCGCCCAGGACGGACGUGCGGUACCGGGGGCCGCUCUCACAUCGCGAUGGCCGCUCGCUGCGAAAAGUUUAUUGAUAGCUGCGGGGCUGUCAUCUUCGCCAAGCACAGGAGGCUCCGCACUCAUUUAGGGGCGCCAGCAGCGGCCGGAUCAAAGGAGCGGCCCGGAGGGGACCAUUGAGGACGUUAACCCGCAUCGGGGGAGCGAGGCGCCUCGGCCCUGGGACAGCGGCGUGCCGGGGCGGACAGAAGGGUUUGGCGCUCCCACCGUAAGGAGAUGCGCCCCAACCCCGAAUUAAGAACCCAAAUAGCGGUGCGUUGUGUGCCGCCUUGUCCCCUCGAUCCUACAGGACAUUGGGAUGUCUCUGCGGUUUGAGGAGCUCAGCCCGCGUCCCGCAGUGAGAGAAGGAUCCGCGCUCAUUGAUAACGUGAUAACCAGCGCUGCAUCCCCCCCUGCACUGAACGCUUCGUGCUUAUGUUUCUGUCACACUUGGUGGUGUUUUAAUCCCUGCAUCGUAGCGAGCGCUCGGCUCUCACUCGCACUGCCGGCAAGCAGACGGGCAGCGAACUUUCCUCCCUUUCUUGUUCCUUCUUUCCUUUCUAAAUGAAACACGCGGGCUUUGGGUAAGGAAGGGAGAAAUCCGAUUUACAAAACGAAAUCUGCCCCGGGAUGGUUUUUCUUGUUUAGCGGGAGAUGCUCGGCACACCGGGCUCUCUUCCUUAUCGCCGUGUGAACGGCGCUGGUAUUUAGGGAUUCUGUGUGCUGACGCGUUGGUGCCCUCACCUGCUUUUAGGUGCCUCGUUCUUAUAUUCCUAUAAGGGAAACCGAAGUGGAAGGGCAGGGCGGGACGUAAGGGGGGAGAGGAAGGGGGGGGAAUAGGUGACUUUAUUGGUGGUUGUUCCAGCCUAGGGCUUUUAUGGGGAGCCGUGCGCUGCCCUUAAGGCACUUGUGCAAGAUAACAAUAUUGGGCAAUUAGCAUCCCAAACAGUCCCGUUUCAGGGGAUGAAUGCGCAAGGCAAAGCCAUUACCCAUCGCGUUUUAUUUCGGUGGGAAUACAACAACAAACGCUGGUGGGAGCCAAUGGGGGAUGGGGAGGGAGGACCGGAGGCAGCGCUGAGCCGAUUCAGGGCAUUGUCUGCCUUUUGUAAACGUUAUCUUUUGACUUAAAGGCAGGGGUAGGACAGAAGAGAGUUGUUGUUUCCCUUGUUUCUAUUUUAUUUCUCCCUCUUAGGACACGGGGCAGCCCUGGAGGACUUUGGGACACGGGGAUACGGGGAUGCGCGGUUGUGCCCGCACCGGGCACCGCUGCACGCUUUUUGCGCGCUCUUUGCGCGCUCCCCGCGUGCCCCUGCCACCCGAUCGGCUCCGUCCGGGGGGACGCUUCGCAAAUAGCGAAGAUCUAUGGCAAGCGGUAACACUGCCUCGCGGGUUUUACGAGCCUGAAACGCCCUUCAAGUGCCAACUCCCUCCCGCUCCAGUCAUUGCUCCACUGAAAAUACGAAAAUACCUCGCUUCUUCCCCUUCCCUCUCCUUCUCCCUUUCUGCCCAAAUCGAACAGAACCCAAACUACUUUUAGGGCUUCAGACACCGAGGCUGCUCCCGGAGAGGUGCCGGGGCUGUGCACGACCGCACCCCCGCUCCUUCGAGGCUCGAGAGCGGAGCUGAAAGGAAAGCACUAUUUCAAGUGGCCCAAAUUAAUUUGAUCGCGACAUUAUGAUGCACUUGAAAAAGAUGAAAGAAAAGGCUACCCGUCUCCUCCAAGAUCUCUAUAAUUAUAGAUAAUAUAUCCUAUUUCAAAGCAAUUAGCUCAAUCAGGCGUAACGAGGCACUUUGCUGCCAGGGAGUAACAAUGCCUUACGGUUAUUUAAGCUUCAAGAUGUCAAGCAGACUUCGAGACUCUCUGCUUUGCCCGAGAGGGAACUUGGCUGCCUUGGUGCUAGCCCCAUGGCGAAGGCAGCGGUUCCUCUUUAGUGACAACACGCCUGUUUGACUUCAGCGUUAUUUUUAAAGCUCCUGCAGAUGUACCAGAGAAGCGUCUCUUUUCCAGGGGCAUUUGGGGCCGGCAUUUGCGUACCAUCCCCUCUGCCUUUCCUCGGUGCCUUCCCCCCCCUCAUUUCAUGUGUUCUGUAGGGGAUUCCAACUGCUUCUCAGCGAGAGUGGAGGAAAAAGUGUUCAUGGGAUGAGAUCCCACGGCCUCCUGGUCCCAGCCGGCCCCUUCCUACCCCAAAGCUUUACUCCGAGCUCUCCUCGGUUUUGUUGUUUUGUUUUGUUUUUGCCUUUCACUAUUAAUUAUUGUUGUUGUUAUUAUUAUUAUUUUGACCUUGAAUGCUCACAGAUGCCAAAGGUCCCAAAGCAAAGUGAGCAUCCCGCUGCUGCACCCAGCAGUGAGCCAUUGGGCCACAGAUGUGUAUGCCCGGGUGUGGAGUGGAGUCUGCCUGGCACCCAGGUGGGGAGCAGAGGCUGAAAUGCUGAAACCCCCUCGUCUUCACUGAAAGCUUCAGGAGGGGUGUGUGGAGUGGGUUGGCCCCACUGUUUCCAGGGGACCCAAAUGCCAAAGAAAAAAGAAAAAAAGGAAGGAAAAAGGAAGGAAGGAAGAAAAAAAGGAAUGAAGGAAGGAAGAAAAGAAAGGAAGGAAGGAAAAAGAAGACGUUUUUCCUCUUUCUCGUUGCUACUGCAAAGAGACGCUCUGAACGACCCGCACGGCACAGCUUAGCACGGCACAGCACGUCAAGGCAUGGCAUGGCACGGCACGGCACGGCACGGCAGGGCACGGCACAGCACUGCACAGCCCCCGCCUGGCCCCGGCCCUGAGAGGCCGUGCAAGCAGUCCCAGCCCCUGCGAGGCGUUCUCGGAUGAAACGGUGCUGGAAGGAAAAAUGAGCAAGGGUACAAUUAACCUGUCAGCUCCCCUUGCAGGGAUUUUUUAUUGCUGGGGGGUAAGGGAGGGAAAAAUAUUAUAUAUAAAUAUAUAUAUAAAAAAGAAAAUACAACGAAAAAACCAUCGUCCCAUGGGUGAGUCAUUUGAACUGGACAAUUCAAGGGAAAUAGGAGGCCGGGGGCAUGAAUGAGGACUAAACAAAGUUUAACCACCCCUCCUUCUUUUCUCCAUGCGCAAAAUGGAAACCUUAUUACAUGAUUCACUGUGAAUCACUAGAUUGAAUGCGAUCAUUAUGAGUAAAUGAUAGUCCGGGCUCCGCCGGUCUUUUCUUUCCUAGAGGCAAAACUAUAAAAUAUGAAGGAUAUAAAUGAUCUCCGCUCCCUCAAAGGACGCCCAUUCACAGCCGCGCUCUGUCUCACUCCCAGUUCCUUUUGCCCCCCCCCGAACUCCCCAUGAUCAAGGUAGAUUACAACGAGUCCCUCUUUUUUUUUUUUUUUUGGUCUUUGCGUGCUUGUUUAUUGGCAAAAUGUCACGAAAUGUAAUUUGCCCCAAAUUCUUUAACAUGAGAAAAUACUUUGUGGUUGGAAGAAUUCACACUGGUACUGCCGAGGCGAUCUCUGAUGCUCAGAGCAAGUUCCUUAUGCUGCCAUUUUACAGCGUUUCCGUGUUUACUCGUCGGUUCUCAGGAGCUUUUUACAUAUUGUUGCAUAAGAAAAGGAUUUAGCCAGCUCUAGUUAUGAGAUUUCCUAGAUUUUUUACAGGCGAGGCCAGUUUACAAAAGCUGUAUUGUUUGACUGCGGUCUGGGUUUCCAAUGGGGUAAUUAUUGUAUUCCCAGCCUUCUUCUAAUCAUUUGCUCACAAGGACAUAGUUUAGGAUUUUAUUUAUUUCUUUCUUUUUUGAACAAGAUGAAAUACUCCAAACUUGCAGGAUCAUUGGAAUAAGCCCUUGCUUCUUCUCUUGUUGUGUACAAGUUAUUCCUUACCUCUUUCUAAACUGCUGGAAAAUAUCUGUAUGUAAAGGACAGCGAGACAGUCCCAAUAGUUUGUUCCUAAUAGAAAGUUUGUUGCCAAGAGAAAUGUUGAUGUGAAUGGAAAAACAACAACAGUAAAAAGUUUUCAGAAGGAAAUACAUUUCGUAUAGAUAAUAAUCAGCUCCUAGGGAAAGAAAAAAAAAAAGUACACUGAAAGAAAUAUCUCAGGAGAGCCAAUGCCUGCGUGCAGUAGUGCCUGCGCAGAGGGGUUUCCUACAGCUGCUGCCUCCUGAGCACAGCAGAGGGCACUGAGGCUGGAGGUGGUCUGCUCCUUCCUGCACCCCUUCUUGAUCAUGUCUGUCUCCUCUGCCUCCCUCUUUCAUUUGCAUCUGUAAAAAACGAGGCCUGAAAAUAUGAGGGCUACUCCGAAAGUAAUGCCUCCUGUUUUAUUCUGUUGACCCGCAACAUCAGUGACAGAUGUUGGUGAUGUGGCAGUAGAGGUUGAACCCUCCCACCAAUAUACCACUACAUUUUUGCCAUGUAACAGAUGGCAGCAGAGGGGCAGUCUGACAAAGUGAUGUCUGACAUCAAAGUGCAGAUGAAGCAAAGGUGUAUCACUGAAUUCCUCCAUACAGAAAAAAUGGCACCCAGUGACAUUCACAGAUGCUUGCUGACUAUUUCUAGAGGCUAAACAGUGGGUGUGAGCACAGUGAGGUAGUAGAUGGUACAUUUCAGAAGUGGUGACAGUGACUCUGUUGGUACAGAUCUUUAAAAGCUCAGCGUGCAGACUCUUGUUCAUUGCAGAGCUAAUGGUAGUGACCGUGUUGAAAAAGAGUGUCUUGUAUCUGAGAAUUUGCUCUAUCAAGCAGUGUUAUCAGUUGUAAUUUCCUUGGAAAUAAAUAGGAGGCAUUACUUUUGGAGGAACUGAUAUGGUUUUUAAUUUCCCCGUGCAAAGGAAACUACAGUUGCGCAGCAGCAUAACUGGUGCCAGGUAUCUUCCAGACUGUCUAUGGAGAAACAAAGUUACAUCACACUCCUGUAACUACCAAAGCCAUCCGCAAACAGUUGGAACUGUCCUGGUGAGAUGUGACCUCCUCUUUGGGAACUGCAGCGCUUAAUUAUUUUGGAGAUGUGAUCUCACCACAUCCUUCUGCUGAGUGGCGGCUGAUGGUUGGAUAUGAUACUGUGAGUUACGUCAUUCUAAUAGACCAGUGUAACCAAACAAUUCCACUGCCGGAGGAGGAGGGGGAAAAAUCCCAAAUAUUUUGUAGGGAAACUGGAUUUGUCUUUCAGAAAGCUUAUGUUUGUCUCAGAUUUUCCAUCAACUGCAAGCGUAGACAUAAUCAAAAAUGUUCCUGGCUUGCCCAUUGCCGGGCUGAUUAGGACUUGGAACAGAAGAGAUAACAUUUCUCGACAUCAGGCUGCCUUGAGCUGCCUUCAUGUUAUUCCCUGCAUAUGCGUUUUUGACGUUAUUUAUGUAACAAGUGUGGGUUGUCUAUUGGUGUUGAGUCAUUUUGUCUUUCAACAGCUGUUUUGUUUCCAUCACUCAGGGCAAAACCUCUAGCAGCCCUUCAAGCAGCACCAUACUCCUUGUAGUCAUUAUUGCAGUCCUCAAGUGGAGGAGAGAAGCUUUCUGACCACUCACAGGCAUAUUGCAGGGAGAUGGAGUCCUCCUGGG